AACGCACAUUGCGCCCUUUGGUAUUCCGAAGGGCAUGCCUAUUCGAGCGUCAUUAUCAACCUUCAAGCUUUGGCUUGUUAUUGGACCUUGUCGUUUAAAAGACUUAUCCGAAAGAUAAUGAGCAGUUUGUUAAACCUGGAAUACAAGGAGCUUUUUAAUAAGCAUCGUAUUAAAGGGAUAAUCACACUGAUCUUUAACUAAAUAUUCUUAAUGGUUGACCUCGGAUUAGGUAGGAAUACCCGCUGAACUUAA
rnacentral:misc_RNA from 1 species